rnacentral:rRNA from 1 species
CCUACGGGAGGCAGCAGUAGGGAAUCUUCCACAAUGGGCGAAAGCCUGAUGGAGCAACGCCGCGUGGGUGAAGAAGGUCUUCGGAUCGUAAAACCCUGUUGUUAGAGAAGAAAGUGCGUGAGAGUAACUGUUCACGUUUCGACGGUAUCUAACCAGAAAGCCACGGCUAACGACGUGCCAGCAGCCGCGGUAAUACGUAGGGGGCAAGCGUUAUCCGGAUUUAUUGGGCGUAAAGGUAACGCAGGCGGUCUUUUAAGUCUGAUGUGAAAGCCUUCGGCUUAACCGGAGUAGUGCAUUGGAAACUGGGAGACUUGAGUACAGAAGAGGAGAGUGGAACUCGAUGUGUAGCGGUGAAAUGCGUAGAUAUAUGGAAGAACACCAGUGGCGAAGGCGGCUCUCUGAUCUGUAACUGACGCUGAGGUUCGAAAGCGUGGGUAGCAAACAGGAUUAGAUACCCCUGUAGUC